rnacentral:rRNA from 1 species
AUUGGAGGGCAAGUCUGGUGCCAGCAGCCGCGGUAAUUCCAGCUCCAAUAGCGUAUAUUAACGUUGUUGCAGUUAAAAAGCUCGUAGUUGAAGUGUGGGUGAUCGCUGUUGUGAGACUUCGGUCUCUCGACAGUAAGUCACCCCCUUCCAGUAUCCAGUAGUGGGUAUUCAGUUACUUACUAUUGUGUGUUGGUCCUUUACUGUGAGAAAAUUAGAGUGUUCAAAGCAGGCGUUUGCUUGAAUAGAUUAGCAUGGAAUAAUAAUUGAAGGCUUUCGUGUUCGAUUUGAUUGGUUUGUUCAUGGAAGCAAGGUUAAAAGGAA